UAACAAUUUUACACGUCUCGAAAUGUAAAAAAAUUAGAUGCGCUGCUUUAUAUAUUUCUCAUUCAACUACUUCAUUUUGUUCAUUUACAUUCUUGUUCUCUCCGUGAAGAAAUGUAGACAGUCAUUAUCGAUACUAAUUGCAAACUAUAUUCAAAAUCCUAUUCAACGUCUGUGUAUAAAAUAAUUUAUUCCCUCGAGAUUAAAUUAAGUUUUCAGUGUGUGUGUGUGUGUGUGUGUGUGUGUGUGUGUGUUGUACAUUCGAAAUAUGCAUGAGAUAGCGCGUCUCUUUAAUUGAAAAUAUCUCUACAGGAAAGCUUUGUGAUCUUUAUAAUUAAUAAAAUCAAGUCUCUCGAGUGUUGUUACGUGCUCAUAAUUUAUAACACUAUUAAAUUUUGAUAUAACAUUUAUAGCCAAUUAUAACUGGUAUAAAAUAUCGGUUUCCCCUAAUAAGAAAAAAAGUCAAGACUUGAAGAAGCUCUCAAAGUUCGACAUUUCGUAUGAAAAACAAUUUCAUCCUUUUGCAAUUUUUUUCUUCUUUUUUUUGUAAAUAGCAGUAAUUAGAUUAUUAAACUAUGAGCAAUGUGUGGUUAACUUCACACGUUAACUUUAUACAAAGGAAAUUCAGGUUCGUUGCACGACGUAAUUACACAUCAAGCGAGUAAUUAUACAAGUUUUCGAAGUUUGGCAUUUUGCAUGUAAAACCGCCCCUGUUUUGUGUACAGCAGUAAUUAUUAAAUAAACAAUUUUUAUGGAUACACAUGGAUGAUUUCUAUUGACGAAAAGCGAAACCGAUUCGCGGGAAAUGUUCGAUAUCGUUCGAUAUCGUUUGCUAAAGGGAAAGGGAACAUAAACCUUCCCCCGAGUUCGCGAGAUAAUGAUUUCUCGGCGUCGCUAUCACCAUCUUGCCACCUCGACGCGGAAUCGACGUUCCGCGUGUGAUCGAUCGAUCCACGUGGGUGUACAUACUCCCCGCGCAGUUUUCCAACGACGACUUUUCCAACCGUAAGAGGGGGUGGAGAUAAAUUAUUACUCGCGCGCGCGCGACUAGUGAAUGAAAAGCGACAUAGCGCUCGGCACGUCCGCGCGCGUUCGCUAUACGUAUAUACCCCUUUGCUAUCUUUACCGGCGAUGUGCGACGAGAUCUAGGAAAAGACUACGCUCGACGUGUCUCCCGCGAUCGAAUUCGGUUUAUUAUACAAGAGCGUACACCACCACUCGGAGUGAGGGUCAGCGACCACCAGCUUGCAGCACGCCGGCCUAUACAUCCCAGGGCCGAGACACAGUGAAAUCGGUAUCAGGAACGAGUGAGCAUGAUAUUACAACGAUGCAUAAUAAAGUAAUAUCAGAAAUAAACCGCUGGAUAAUUUCGAUGUGCGGAAAGAAAUUUGUUCGAGAAGUCGAUUAGUCGGAGAAUUGGGGAAUUAGGGUUUUCGUUCGAGCGGAAUAUUUUGUUUAAGGUUUAAGUGCAAGAAGUUGCAAGCCAACAGCUGUUCAAACAUUACCACGGACUAAUUCUUCGGUUAACGGUUUGGAACAAUCCGGAUGUAAUAUAAAAGUCUAUUAUCGAAGGCGGACACGAGAGCAGGUUCCAGUCGAGCGAACGGCCCGUACUUAAUCAUCGUGCGUUCGUUUCAUUGGCGAGCCGGUUGCAGCGAUGCCGACACGUGAGGCUCAUUUGCAUCUCGUUACAUCGCGCCGAUUAAUAAUCGGCCGUUAGAGAGAUGCGACUUUGUCGAUCGAAGAAACGCGUUGCUAUCUGACUAGUAGAUAUAUAUAUGUCACACACUGAAAGCGCGCAUGUGGUCCAGCUGAUAGAACUUGUGCCUUAUCGCGGAGAGCGAUUGUGUCCGCGACCGAGCCGAGUCAAUAUCGAAUUCAAAGGAUUAUCGCGCGAGAUGCGCCGAGGUCGAGAUACAAUGAAAUAUGAGAACGAGAUACGAAGACGGAGGUGACAAAGUUUAAGAAUCGCAGCGCGAACAGGAUGCGUUAUGAUAGUAUUAACGGAAAUUAUUUAAAGAAAAUAUUAAGUGUGUCAAUUCUCACUACUUUGAUGUUAUUUUCGGAAAAAAAAAAAAAUAUUCGACAUUCCUUGAAUAUACAUAGCCACUGAAUUCAAUAAUUUUAGAAUUUAGAUUAUCAUGUUUAUAACGUUGAUACGUGUGAAAAAGAACAGUUUUAUUCACAGUAUCUAUUUUAGUUGAAUACAGAUCUGAAAAUAAUUAUUUAGUUAGAUCAAAAAACAUUAUCAAGGAUACUGAUGCUGAUUAUUAAAACGUCAACAUUUUUUACAGCAUUGUUCGAGUUUCUUACGUAAUUAGUUUGAUUCAAAAUUCAAUUUUUAGAUAUUUCAGCAAAAUCGUUCUUUCCAAGCAUCUGCCGAUGGCAAAAACACAAAUUACUAAAACACUUAGAAAUGGAGUAAAAAACGAGUAUUGCACACUGAAAUCUUUUUCCCCAUUUGAAGAUGUUGAAGAAUACGUAAUAAACUUUAUCUACCUA